AAAAUAAUUUGCCCAUAUUGCUUCAGCGUCACACAUCCCACAGUCAAAUGGAUACAUCUAAGUAAUUAAAAACUUUUACAGUUAUUUAUACGUAUAAGUCAUCCGUAAAGAGCAUGAAAAGACAUUGAAAAUUACAAAGCACAGCAAAGUAUCAGAGGUGAGGAAGAACAAGAAUUACAGGUAUAUUCGUUAGAGCUAAUGUAUAAGGUAAUUAAAUGAUAAUUGAUAUAUAAUAAAGAAUCAAGAAAAUCACGCCAUUCAAAAAUAUUACAAAAUUUAACAUGAGGUUGAUUUCCACGUGUCCCACAAUUGCCCUGCAUCCCAAAAGGUUUGAAAGGGAGAAAAUUGGUUUAAAAGAAUUUUUCGGAAUUGUGGUUUGUCAAGCUCUGAAAGUAAUUCUGAGAUCAUCGGGCUAAAGGAGACUUCCAAGAGCAUGCAAUUAGUUGAUGAGCUGUUAAGAUAACAUGGAGUAUUACCUUCUGUUGACCUUGAAGGUUUCUACUAUGUAAGUAAAGCAAGAGUUAUUGAUCAUAUAUUCUCAUUGUUUCGUG